UAUAUUUAGCUGAAUGCUCCUCUCUAGAGUUCACUUUUCUAGCUGACUAAUGAGUUUAUGGUCACUGAAUAUGUUUGUUCUGAGGUAAAUGUGACGUUACGUGACAUUGUUUACAAGCUGUUAUAAUGUCUUUCCGCAGUUAAAACACUGAUUACGCGAAUACACGAGACAUGAUAUGGAUUUAGUUAAGUUGUUCUGUAUAUUUUAACAUAACGUUACCUUCGGAGGUUCAUUCAUGUUUAUUUCGCGCUGUAACUGGUAUUAAAGCAGAGAAGAGGAUCAGUUCACGGGCGCUUCAUGCUGCCGCUUCUCUUGAACUGAUGAGGCGCUACAGCGGUCACGACACAUUGAAGAGCGCCAAAACGAAGCGGCUGAAGAGGAAGUCGACUCUUUUGAGACUGGUCAAACGGAAAUCCCCAAACCUGCGCACAUGACACACGCCGCCCGACAACAUCUGCUGCUGACCAGAUGAAAACUCAUCUUUAUUUUUCCAGCAGUUUUGAGAAUCAUAUUUUAAGGCUUGUAUUGUCUGCGGAUCAUUUUUGGCCCAUUUUCAGUAAAAAAUAAAUGCUAUAAAUACCA